UUUGUGAUUUUGAAUACAGGCCUUCAAUC
rnacentral:sRNA from 1 species